UCUCAUGUGGCGGAACUGGUAAACGCACCGGACUGUUAAUCCGGCGUCUCGCAAGAGACUUGGGGGUUCGAAGCCCUCCGUGAGAG
rnacentral:tRNA from 1 species